GACGAAUGCUGGCGGCGUGCUUAACACAUGCAAGUCGAACGGUAAGGCCCUUCGGGGUACACGAGUGGCGAACGGGUGAGUAACACGUGGGUGAUCUGCCCUGCACUUCGGGAUAAGCCUGGGAAACUGGGUCUAAUACCGGAUAGGACCACUGCCUGCAUGGGUGGUGGUGGAAAGCUUUUGCGGUGUGGGAUGGGCCCGCGGCCUAUCAGCUUGUUGGUGGGGUGAUGGCCUACCAAGGCGACGACGGGUAGCCGGCCUGAGAGGGUGACCGGCAACACUGGGACUGAGAUACGGCCCAGACUCCUACGGGAGGCAGCAGUGGGGAAUAUUACACAAUGGGCGCAAGCCUGAUGCAGCGACGCCGCGUGAGGGAUGACGGCCUUCGGGUUGUAAACCUCUUUCAGCACCGACGAAGCGCAAGUGACGGUAGGUGCAGAAGAAGGACCGGCCAACUACGUGCCAGCAGCCGCCGUAA
rnacentral:rRNA from 1 species